UACGUAGGGUGCAAGCGUUGUCCGGAAUUAUUGGGCGUAAAGAGCUCGUAGGCGGUUUGUCGCGUCUGCUGUGAAAACUCAGGGCUUAACUCUGAGCUUGCAGUGGGUACGGGCAGACUAGAGUGCGGUAGGGGAGACUGGAAUUCCUGGUGUAGCGGUGAAAUGUGCAGAUAUCAGGAGGAACACCGGUGGCGAAGGCGGGUCUCUGGGCCGUAACUGACGCUGAGGAGCGAAAGCAUGGGGAGCGAACAGG
rnacentral:rRNA from 1 species